UGUCAGCCUCCAAAGCUGACGUACCGAAGAGGCUUGUCUAUCUUGCCGGGCGUGCGGAAGGGAAUUCAUUCCAUUCCAAUCGAAGGCUACAUUUUCCAACAAGGCAUUGUCGUGCCUCGUUGCAAGAACAUGUAGGCCCA
rfam:Beijerinckia indica subsp. indica ATCC 9039, complete genome.